GGUCGUAUGGUGUAAUAGGGAUAGCAUAGUUGUCUGCGAAGCUUCAGAUUCCGGUUCAAAUCCGGAUACGACCACCA
rnacentral:tRNA from 1 species